CGGGGUGCAGCAGGCGCGAAAACUUCACAAUGGGAGAAAUCCCGAUGAGGGAAUUCCAAGUGCUAGCACUAUGUGUUAGCUGUUCUUUUGUCUAAAAAACAGAAGAAGUAAGGGCCGGGUAAGACGGGUGCCAGCCGCCGCGGUAAUACCCGCGGCCCGAGUGGUGGUCGAUAUUAUUGAGCCUAAAACGUCCGUAGCCGGUCUUGUAAAUCCUUGGGUAAAUCGGCCAGCUUAACUGUCCGAAGUCCGGGGAGACUGCAAGACUUGGGAUCGGGAAAGGUCAGAGGUACUUCUGGGGUAGGGGUAAAAUCCUGUAAUCCUGGAAGGACCACCGGUGGCGAAGGCGUCUGACUAGAACGAAUUCGACGGUGAGGGACGAAGCCCUGGGGCGCAAACGGGAUUAGAUACCCCGGUAGUCCAGGGUGUAAACGCUGCGGGCUUGGUUUUGGGGGUCCUUUGUGGGCGCCCAGUGCCGGAGAGAAGUUGUUAAGCCUGCUGCUUGGGGAGUACGUCCGCAAGGAUGAAACUUAAAGGAAUUGGCGGGGGAGCACAAGGGCGAUUGCG
rnacentral:rRNA from 1 species